rnacentral:rRNA from 1 species
GACAGAGGGUGCAAACGUUGUUCGGAAUUACUGGGCGUAAAGCGUGUGUAGGCGGCUAUGUAAGUCGGAUGUGAAAGCCCCGGGCUCAACCCGGGAAGUGCACUCGAUACUGCGUAGCUUGAGUAUCGGAGAGGUUGGUGGAAUUCUCGGUGUAGAGGUGAAAUUCGUAGAUAUCGAGAGGAACACCGGUGGCGAAGGCGGCCAACUGGACGAAUACUGACGCUGAGACACGAAAGCGUGGGGAGCAAACAGG